AUUGAUGAAAGGCGGCACUUUCGGGUGCAGCUGCUUUGGGAUGAGUCCGUGCAUCAUUAGCUUGCUGGUGGGGUAACGGUCUACCAUGGCGACGAUGGUUAGCUGAUCUGAUAGGGUGAUCAGUCACACUGGAACUGAAACACGGUCCAGACUCCUACGGGAGGCAGCAGUGAUGGAUUUUGCGCAAUGGGGGGUAAGCCUGACGCAGCAACGCCGCGUGAGUGAAGAAGGCCUUUGGGUCGUAAAGCUCUGUCAACAGGGAAGAAGUUUCAUUGCAUUAACAGUGUGAUGUAUUGACGGUACCUGUGGAGGAAGCACCGGCUAACUCCGUGCCAGCAGCCGGGGUAACACGGGGGGUGCAAGCGUUAUUCGGAAUUAUCGGGCGUACAGUGCGCGCAGGCAGUCUUGUCCGUCAGAUGUGAAUGCCCGGGGCUCAAGUCCGGACGUGCAUUUGAAACAGCAGGACUUGAGUACCGGAGAGGAAAGCGGAAUUCCUGGUGUAGAGGUGAACUUCGUAGAUAUCAGGAGGAACACCGAUGGCGAAGGCAGCUUUCUGGACUGAUACUGACGCUGAGGCGCGAAGGCGUGGGUAGCGAACAGGAUUAGAUACCCUGGUAGUCCACGCAGUAAACGAUGUUCACUAGGUGCAGCGUGUAUUAAAACAUGCUGUGCCGCAGCCAACGCAGUAAGUGAACCGCCUGGGGAGUACGGUCGCAGGAUUAAAACUCAAAGGAAUGGACGGGGGCCCGCACAAGCGCUGGAGCAUGUGGUUUAAUUCGACGCAACGCGAAGAACCUUACCUGGGUUUGACAUCCUGUGAACCAUCUGGAGACAGAGGGGUGCAUUCGGGAGCACAGAGACAGGUGAUGCAUGGCUGUAGUCAGCUCGUCUCGUGAGAUGUUUGGUUAAGUCCAGCAACGAGCGCAAC
rnacentral:rRNA from 1 species